rnacentral:misc_RNA from 1 species
AUUACAGCUCAUCAUCUGAUUCCGAGGAAAAGAGGAGGCGGCGGAGGAAGAAAAAGCAGAAGAAGAAGGAGAGGCGUAGGAGGUAUAGCUCAACUUCGGAGUCGUCUGACUCUGAUUCAGGUUCAGAAUCUGAUUCCGAAGAUAGGAGCAGCCGGAGGAAGAGGAGGCACAGCAGAAAGCGCUAAAUGAGGUGGUCAGAAGCAGGAUAGAUCAACGAAUCAUAUUGGCUUCACUGUUAUCUGCACUUUCAUUAUAUCAAGCAGUUUAAGCUUAUUAGAUGAGAACAAAAAUAAGUUAGCAGAUGUGUUUGUUUUUCAUUUCUGUUACUUCUCGCUUUGUGAUGUAAUACUGCCAGUUUU